AAACGGAAAGACUUCCCUCCAAGGGCAUGCUGGGAACUGUAGUACGGCGAGGGCCGGAAAUGGGAGUCUGGCGGCCGCCUGAGGCCAGCGGCGGGGAGACCGUUAGAGGGAGGGUCUAAGCUUCUGCAUUGGUGUUGUUCCUUACGCAGCUGAAUGUCCUGCUCCAGCCUCGGCUGGUUGGGCUGGCUGGACUGGCUGACGGUCGCGGAAACUGCCACCCCUUGGUGGGAACUGUCAAGCACCGGUUUAAUUCCCUUUUCUCAUUUAGCGGUUUCGGUCUCGGAAAUUCCUUCCACUCUUGUUUGCAUUCUUGUUAUGUACUCAGCUACAGUAACGUGGGAAAUAAUCUAAGGCAGUUAUCUGGAUAAAAGAGGACUUGGCUAUUUUUAUUUUUUUAUUUUUUGCCUUAAUACUAAUCUCUAGCAUACAUCUCGUGCCACCGGGCUCCAGACUUUCUUAGCUUGAGUUGAUGGACAGUGGAUGAAUUCUCCAAGUAACUCCAAGUUUUUCAUUCCAAGCAGCCUGUGUCAGUAAUCAUCAUUGAUGCCUUCCCUACCAGUCUCUCUCCGCUUGAGCUGUGCUGAAGAGAAAGUAGAAGGGGCAAAAGUUUAUUCAUCUAAUAAUUGAAUUUCUUCUAUGUUGUGCUAGAUAUUCUGCUAGAUACUGGGAAUUUGGAAAUUUGGAGAUAAGAAUAAAUGGGACCUGAGUUUAUGGA